CUUAGAUUCAAUUUAUAGUGGAUCCUAUCCCUACCUACCAACUUUCUCCAGAUAUGGUACACCUAAUUUUGACUAGCACAGAGAGAUUCCUUAACAUACCAUUCCAUACGAGACAAGGAGCCAUGCAUCAUAACAUCAUCAUCAUUCUUCUGGCCCAAAGCAAACCAAAUCUUUGUAUUUAAUGUAACACAUUAUAAACUAGUUAUAGUAUUUAUCCAAAUGGCUAUCUUAAAGGAAAAAAUAUGGAGCAAACCAAUUUGAAACAAAAAUAAAGUAACAAUAGUAAAC
rnacentral:lncRNA from 1 species